GAUGAACGCUGGCGGCGUGCCUAAUACAUGCAAGUCGAGCGAACAGAUCAGGAGCUUGCUCCUCUGUCGUUAGCGGCGGACGGGUGAGUAACACGUGGAUAACCUACCUAUAAGACUGGGAUAACUUCGGGAAACCGGAGCUAAUACCGGAUAACAUAUUAGACCGCAUGGUUCAUUAGUGGAAGACGGUUUUGCUUGCAAUUUAAGAUUGAUCCGGGCCGCAUUAACUAGUUGGGAAGGGAACGGCUUACCAAGGGCACGAUGCGUAACCGACCUGAGAGGGGGAUCGGCCACCCUGGACCUGAGAAACGGUCAAGACUCCUACGGGAGGAAGAAGUAGGGAUUCUUCCGCAAUGGGCGAAAGCUUGAGGGAGCACGGCCGCGUGGGUGAGGAAGGUCUCGGGACGGUAAACCUUGGUUAUUAGGGAAGAAAAAAUGUGUACGUAAAUAUGCGCGCGUUGACGGUACCUAAUGAGAAAGCCACGGCUAACUACGUG
rnacentral:rRNA from 1 species